AGUGCAGUUGCUGGGUUGUAUGUUAAGUCUACAUUAGUCACAUAAGAAAUUGCCAAAUUCUCUUUCAAAGUAGCUAUACCAUUUUGCAUUGCCAUUAGCAAU
rnacentral:pre_miRNA from 1 species